UUAAGCGACUAAGCGUACACGGUGGAUGCCCUGGCAGUCAGAGGCGAUGAAGGACGUGCUAAUCUGCGAAAAGCGUCGGUAAGGUGAUAUGAACCGUUAUAACCGGCGAUGUCCGAAUGGGGAAACCCAGUGCAAUUCGUUGCACUAUCGUUAACUGAAUACAUAGGUUAACGAGGCGAACCGGGGGAACUGAAACAUCUAAGUACCCCGAGGAAAAGAAAUCAACCGAGAUUCCCCCAGUAGCGGCGAGCGAACGGGGAGCAGCCCAGAGUCUGAAUCAGCUUGUGUGUUAGUGGAACGGUCUGGAAAGUCCGACGGUACAGGGUGAUAGUCCCGUACACCAAAAUGCACAGGCUGUGAACUCGAAGAGUAGGGCGGGACACGUGGUAUCCUGUCUGAAUAUGGGGGGACCAUCCUCCAAGGCUAAAUACUCCUGACUGACCGAUAGUGAACCAGUACCGUGAGGGAAAGGCGAAAAGAACCCCGGCGAGGGGAGUGAAAAAGAACCUGAAACCGUGUACGUACAAGCAGUGGGAGCACCUUCGGGUGUGACUGCGUACCUUUUGUAUAAUGGGUCAGCGACUUAUAUUCUGUAGCAAGGUUAACCGUAUAGGGGAGCCGCAGGGAAACCGAGUCUUAACUGGGCGUUAAGUUGCAGGGUAUAGACCCGAAACCCGGUGAUCUAGCCAUGGGCAGGUUGAAGGUUGGGUAACACUAACUGGAGGACCGAACCGACUAAUGUUGAAAAAUUAGCGGAUGACUUGUGGCUGGGGGUGAAAGGCCAAUCAAACCGGGAGAUAGCUGGUUCUCCCCGAAAGCUAUUUAGGUAGCGCCUCGUGAAUUCAUCUUCGGGGGUAGAGCACUGUUUCGGCUAGGGGGUCAUCCCGACUUACCAACCCGAUGCAAACUACGAAUACCGAAGAAUGUUAUCACGGGAGACACACGGCGGGUGCUAACGUCCGUCGUGAAGAGGGAAACAACCCAGACCGCCAGCUAAGGUCCCAAAGUCAUGGUUAAGUGGGAAACGAUGUGGGAAGGCACAGACAGCCAGGAUGUUGGCUUAGAAGCAGCCAUCAUUUAAAGAAAGCGUAAUAGCUCACUGGUCGAGUCGGCCUGCGCGGAAGAUGUAACGGGGCUAAACCAUGCACCGAAGCUGCGGCAGCGACACUAUGUGUUGUUGGGUAGGGGAGCGUUCUGUAAGCCUGCGAAGGUGUGCUGUGAGGCAUGCUGGAGGUAUCAGAAGUGCGAAUGCUGACAUAAGUAACGAUAAAGCGGGUGAAAAGCCCGCUCGCCGGAAGACCAAGGGUUCCUGUCCAACGUUAAUCGGGGCAGGGUGAGUCGACCCCUAAGGCGAGGCCGAAAGGCGUAGUCGAUGGGAAACAGGUUAAUAUUCCUGUACUUGGUGUUACUGCGAAGGGGGGACGGAGAAGGCUAUGUUAGCCGGGCGACGGUUGUCCCGGUUUAAGCAUGUAGGCUGGUUAUCCAGGCAAAUCCGGAUAAUCAAGGCUGAGGUGUGAUGACGAGGCACUACGGUGCUGAAGUAACAAAUGCCCUGCUUCCAGGAAAAGCCUCUAAGCAUCAGGUAACAUUAAAUCGUACCCCAAACCGACACAGGUGGUCAGGUAGAGAAUACCAAGGCGCUUGAGAGAACUCGGGUGAAGGAACUAGGCAAAAUGGUGCCGUAACUUCGGGAGAAGGCACGCUGGUGUGUAGGUGAAGUCCCUGCGGAUGGAGCUGAGACCAGUCGAAGAUACCAGCUGGCUGCAACUGUUUAUUAAAAACACAGCACUGUGCAAACACGAAAGUGGACGUAUACGGUGUGACGCCUGCCCGGUGCCGGAAGGUUAAUUGAUGGGGUUAUCCGUAAGGAGAAGCUCUUGAUCGAAGCCCCGGUAAACGGCGGCCGUAACUAUAACGGUCCUAAGGUAGCGAAAUUCCUUGUCGGGUAAGUUCCGACCUGCACGAAUGGCGUAAUGAUGGCCAGGCUGUCUCCACCCGAGACUCAGUGAAAUUGAACUCGCUGUGAAGAUGCAGUGUACCCGCGGCAAGACGGAAAGACCCCGUGAACCUUUACUAUAGCUUGACACUGAACAUUGAGCCUUGAUGUGUAGGAUAGGUGGGAGGCUUUGAAGCGUGGACGCCAGUCUGCGUGGAGCCAACCUUGAAAUACCACCCUUUAAUGUUUGAUGUUCUAACGUUGGCCCCUUACCGGGGUUGCGGACAGUGUCUGGUGGGUAGUUUGACUGGGGCGGUCUCCUCCCAAAGCGUAACGGAGGAGCACGAAGGUUAGCUAAUCCUGGUCGGACAUCAGGAGGUUAGUGCAAUGGCAUAAGCUAGCUUGACUGCGAGCGUGACGGCGCGAGCAGGUGCGAAAGCAGGUCAUAGUGAUCCGGUGGUUCUGAAUGGAAGGGCCAUCGCUCAACGGAUAAAAGGUACUCCGGGGAUAACAGGCUGAUACCGCCCAAGAGUUCAUAUCGACGGCGGUGUUUGGCACCUCGAUGUCGGCUCAUCACAUCCUGGGGCUGAAGUAGGUCCCAAGGGUAUGGCUGUUCGCCAUUUAAAGUGGUACGCGAGCUGGGUUUAGAACGUCGUGAGACAGUUCGGUCCCUAUCUGCCGUGGGCGCUGGAGAAUUGAGGGGGGCUGCUCCUAGUACGAGAGGACCGGAGUGGACGCAUCACUGGUGUUCGGGUUGUCAUGCCAAUGGCACUGCCCGGUAGCUAAAUGCGGAAGAGAUAAGUGCUGAAAGCAUCUAAGCACGAAACUUGCCCCGAGAUGAGUUCUCCCUGAGACUUUAAGUCUCCUGAAGGAACGUUGAAGACGACGACGUUGAUAGGCCGGGUGUGUAAGCGCAGCGAUGCGUUGAGCUAACCGGUACUAAUGAACCGUGAGGCUUAACCUU
rnacentral:rRNA from 1 species